rnacentral:misc_RNA from 1 species
UUAAGUUCAGCGGGUAGUCCUACUCGAUUUGAGGUCAAGUUGUCAGAGAGUGUCCUAAGACAGUUAGAAGCCCAGAGCUCCCAAUCGGCCACCCUCUUUCGAGGCGCCGGCGAAGACACUUAUCACGCCGUACUAUGUCCAACCAGGAGGUGCACUAAUGCAUUUGAGGCAAGCUGCAGUAAAGCAGCAAUGCCCAAGUC